rnacentral:rRNA from 1 species
AUUGAACGCUGGCGGCAGGCCUAACACAUGCAAGUCGAACGAGUGGCGGACGGGUGAGUAAUGUCUGGGAAACUGCCUGAUGGAGGGGGAUAACUACUGGAAACGGUAGCUAAUACCGCAUACCCUCAGAUGUGCCCAGAUGGUAUUAGCUAGUAGGUGGGGUAACGGGUCACCUAGGCGACGAUCCCUAGCUGGUCUGAGAGGAUGACCAGCCAGACUGGAACUGAGAAACGGUCCAGACUCCUACGGGAGGCAGCAGUGGGGAAUAUUGCACAAUGGGCGAAAGCCGGAUGCAGCCAUGCCGCGUGUAUGAAGAAGGCCUUCGGGUUGUAAAGUACUUUCAGCGGGGAGGCGGGAGAAGAAGAAGAAGCACCGGCUAACUCCGUGCCAGCAGCCGCGGUAAUAG